AUUGAACGCUGGCGGCAUGCCUUACACAUGCAAGUCGAACGGUAACGGGCCUUCGGGUGCCGACGAGUGGCGAACGGGUGAGUAAUGCAUCGGAACGUACCUUUCAGUGGGGGAUAACGUAGCGAAAGUUACGCUAAUACCGCAUAUUCUGUGAGCAGGAAAGCAGGGGAUCGCAAGACCUUGCGCUGAUUGAGCGGCCGAUGUCAGAUUAGCUAGUUGGUGAGGUAAAGGCUCACCAAGGCGACGAUCUGUAGCGGGUCUGAGAGGAUGAUCCGCCACACUGGAACUGAGACACGGUCCAGACUCCUACGGGAGGCAGCAGUGGGGAAUUUUGGACAAUGGGGGCAACCCUGAUCCAGCCAUGCCGCGUGAGUGAAGAAGGCCUGG
rnacentral:rRNA from 1 species